UACAAAGCGUUGAUGGAAACAAGUAGGUUAUUACUGAACUUACAGAAAGCAGCCGGUUGAUGAGAGGCGCAAGGGUAAGGGUAACUGAAUACAUUCCGGAGCGGCGAACUGAAAGCAUAUUUGUAAGUAGGGGCAGCCGGAGUAGCACACGUUAUAGUGCAUAAGUCCAUGCUGGUGGACUUAAUGAGGUGGCAGAUGCGAGUCUGUCAUGAAUAAAGGUGGUAACACGUAAGUUCAGGCUUUCGUCCUUUUA
rnacentral:ncRNA from 1 species